rnacentral:misc_RNA from 1 species
UGAUAAACAAACCCAAAAAUAAUGACUUAGCCCAAAGUGCUAAUACACACAUAAAACAAGCGAAAGAAAGAAAGAAAAACAAACUACUACGCUAAAGGUCUAAUUAGGGAAGUGGACAGAGAAAAGGACUCUCAAUCCUUGUAGAGUCCGCUGGAAGUCUCUAUCUCCACACCGUUUCCAAAUUGCAUCUCUACCGUCGGUGCUCCAUUUAUCUACCCCGAG